rnacentral:misc_RNA from 1 species
GAUGAAGAACGCAGCGAAAUGCGAUACGUAAUGUGAAUUGCAGAAUUCAGUGAAUCAUCGAAUCUUUGAACGCACCUUGCACCCUUUGGCAUUCCGAAGGGUAUGCUCGUUUGAGUGUCAUUGUACUCUCACACUUCCAAUCUUUGGAUUGGGAGCGGUGGACUUGGGUGUUGCUGCUUACUGUGGCUCACCUCAAAUCGAUUCGUGCACCUCUUGGUUGGACAUAGUACGGCGUGAUAAGUGUCUUCGCCGGCACCUCAGUAGAGGGUGGCUGAUCAGGAGCUCUGUGCUUCAAACCGUCCUCGGACAACAACUGACAACUUGACCUCAAAUCGAGUAGGACUACCCGCUGAACUUAAGCAUAUCAAUAAGCGGAGGA